rnacentral:rRNA from 1 species
CACGUAGGGUGCGAGCGUUGUCCGGAAUUAUUGGGCGUAAAGAGCUCGUAGGCGGCUUGUCGCGUCGUCCGUGAAAACUUGGGGCUCAACCCCAAGCUUGCGGUCGAUACGGGCAGGCUCGAGUUCGGUAGGGGAGACUGGAAUUCCUGGUGUAGCGGUGAAAUGCGCAGAUAUCAGGAGGAACACCGGUGGCGAAGGCGGGUCUCUGGGCCGAUACUGACGCUGAGGAGCGAAAGCGUGGGGAGCGAACAGG